GAUGAAGAACGUAGCGAAAUGCGAUAAGUAGUGUGAAUUGCAGAAUUCAGUGAAUCAUCGAAUCUUUGAACGCACAUUGCGCCCCUUGGUAUUCCAUGGGGCAUGCCUGUUCGAGCGUCAUUUGUACCUUCAAGCCUUGCUUGGUGUUGGGUGUUUGUCUCGCCUCUGCGCGCAGACUCGCCUCAAAACAAUUGGCAGCCGGCGUAUUGAUUUCGGAGCGCAGUACAUCUCGCGCUUUGCACUCAGAACGACGACGUCCAAAAGUACAUUUUUACACUCUUGACCUCGGAUCAGGUAGGGAUGCCCGCUGAACUUAAGCAUAUCAAUAAGCGGAGGA
rnacentral:misc_RNA from 1 species